CCCAUACUCCGUCUGUCCGAAAAAGCUUGUCCCUCAAAUGAAUGUAUCUAGCAUCAAAUUAGGGCUAGAUACAUCCAUUUGAGAGACAAGUUUGGGACAAAUUUUUUCGGAUGGAGGGAGUACCUC
rfam:Triticum urartu cultivar G1812 contig565922, whole genome shotgun sequence.